rnacentral:rRNA from 1 species
AAAGAUGAGUCUGCGGACCAUUAGGUAGUUGGUGGAUUAACAGCCCACAAGCCAACGAUGGAUAGCUGGUCUGAGAGGAUGAUCAGCCACACUGGAACUGAGACACGGUCCAGACUCCUACGGGUGGCAGCAGUAAGGAAUAUUGCUCAAUGGGAGAAAUCCUGAAGCAGCAACGCCGCGUGAAGGAAGAAGGGUCUUCGACUUGUAAACUUCAGUAGAAGAGGAAAAAUACUCCGAUAUACUCGGAAUUGAUUGUACUCUUAAAGUAAGCCCCGGCUAACUACGUG